UACAGAGGGUGCGAGCGUUAAUCGGAAUUACUGGGCGUAAAGCGUGCGUAGACGGUUACGUAAGUCGGGUGUGAAAGCCCCGGGCUCAACCUGGGAAUUGCAUUCGAGACUGCGAAGCUAGGGUGCGGAAGAGGGAAGCGGAAUUUCCGGUGUAGCGGUGAAAUGCGUAGAUAUCGGAAGGAACAUCAGUGGCGAAAGCGGCUUCCUGGUCCAGCACCGACGUUCAGGCACGAAAGCGUGGGGAGCAAACAGG
rnacentral:rRNA from 1 species